GAUGAACGCGGCGGCGUGCCUAAUACAUGCAAGUAGAACGCUGAAGCUUGGUGCUUGCACCGAGCGGUGAGUUGCGAACGGGUGAGUAACGCGUAGGUAACCUGCCUCUUAGCGGGGGAUAACUAUUGGAAACGAUAGCUAAUACCGCAUAAAAGUCGAUAUCGCAUGAUAUUGAUUUGAAAGGUGCAAUUGCAUCGCUAAGAGAUGGACCUGCGUUGUAUUAGCUAGUUGGUGAGGUAACGGCUCACCAAGGCGACGAUACAUAGCCGACCUGAGAGGGUGAUCGGCCACACUGGGACUGAGACACGGCCCAGACUCCUACGGGAGGCAGCAGUAGGGAAUCUUCGGCAAUGGGGGCAACCCUGACCGAGCAACGCCGCGUGAGUGAAGAAGGUUUUCGGAUCGUAAAGCUCUGUUGUAAGAGAAGAACGAGUGUGAGAGUGGAAAGUUCACACUGUGACGGAACUACCAGAAAGGACGC
rnacentral:rRNA from 1 species